CCUGGCUCAGAACGAACGCUGGCGGCGUGCCUAACACAUGCAAGUCGAGCGAGAAGCCCGCAAGGGUGAGUAAAGCGGCGCACGGGGUGCGUAACACGUGGGUAAUCUGACCCUGGAGCCCGGAACAACUCGCCGAAAGGCGAGCUAAUGCCGGAUGAGACCACGGGGGCUUCGGCCUCUGGGGGAAAAGGUGGCCUCUGUACACAAGCUAUCACUUCAGGAUGAGCCCGCGGCCCAUCAGCUAGUUGGCGGGGUAAUGGCCCACCAAGGCGACGACGGGUAGCUGGUCUGAGAGGACGAUCAGCCACACUGGAACUGAGACACGGUCCAGACUCCUACGGGAGGCAGCAGUGGGGAAUCUUGCGCAAUGGGCGAAAGCCUGACGCAGCAACGCCGCGUGUGUGAUGAAGGUCUUCGGAUCGUAAAGCACUGUCGCGAGGGACGAAUAAGCCUUUGGCUAACAUCCAGGGGUGAUGACGGUACCUCGAGAGGAAGCACCGGCUAACUCUGUGCCAGCAGCCGCGGUAA
rnacentral:rRNA from 1 species